rnacentral:lncRNA from 1 species
GGUAGUCCAACAGACUUUUAUUUUUAUCUUAGUUUUUAUUCUAAUGUCUAAUAUAUCUUGGUUUACAUAUCUAAAAUAGCAUUAAGAUAAUAACUAAUGAUAAAUGGCCUAGUGGAGAGAGGGUAGUUUCAUAAUCUUAAGUGGAGAGGGUUCAAUACUCAUGUGUAGUAUUUCUUUUAGCUAUUUUAUUUUCUUUUAGCUAUUUUAUUUUAGCAUUUUCAUUUCUUUUUUAUGUUUAUGCCUUUAUUAUACUCAUAGUUUCAUUUGUUAAUAAUGCAAAUUUGUUUUCUUUUAAUUUCAUCAUUCAUUCAAAACCAUUUUAAAACUAUUAAAAUCAUAUUUUUCUCGAUUUAAUAUCGAGUCCAUUUUCCACACCCUUGUAAGUCGAUUUCUUUUUAAGCAUCGCCAUCAACCUCACAUAGCUUACUCUUGGGCUUUCUUACAAUGAGCCGGUUCUCUUGCACUUACACUCAUAUUUCGAGUCAUUUUGUUGUUUGGGCCCGAUUUAAUUAUUUCAUGAUUUUUGACAACCCCCAUUCAUAACAAAUGUAUCCCUCUCCCAUGAAAU